rnacentral:rRNA from 1 species
GGCCUAUUGAAAGAAGAUUUUAGGUCUAACCUGCCCCCUGAAGUAUUUAAAUGGCCGCAGUAUUUUGACUGUGCUAAGGUAGCAUAAUAAUUAGUUUUUUAAUUGAAAGCUAGAAUGAAUGGUAUUAUGAAAAAAUUACUGUCUCUUUUAAAAAAUUAAAAUUUUAUUUUUAAGUUAAAAAGCUUAAAUAUUAUUAAAAGACGAGAAGACCCUAUAGAAUUUUAUUUAAAUUAAUUUUUAAUAAGUUAGUAUAUAAAAUUUAAAGAUAAGUUUAUAUUUAGUUGGGGUGAUUAGAAAAAUUAAGUAUCUUUUUUUCAUGUAAACAUUAAUUUAUGAUUUUAUGAUUCACAUUAGUGAUUUAAGAAUAAAUUACCUUAGGGAUAACAGCGUAAUUUUUUUUUAGAGUUCUAAUCAAAAAGAAAGAUUGCGA